rnacentral:rRNA from 1 species
GACGGACCAUCCAAACGUUAUUCGGAAUUACUGGGCUUAAAGGGUGCGUAGGCGGCGCGGAAAGUUCGGUGUGAAAUCCCUCGGCUUAACCGAGGAAUGGCGCUGAAAACUACCGUGCUCGAGGAAGACAGAGGUAAGCGGAACAGCGGGUGGAGCGGUGAAAUGCGUUGAUAUCCGCUGGAACACCGGUGGCGAAAGCGGCUUACUGGGUCUUUUCUGACGCUGAGGCACGAAAGCUAGGGUAGCGAACGGG